UGAAAAUUUUUAAGUUUUAUAUGUAUGCAUAAACAUAUGCUAAAACUAUAUAGUGGAUAUUCAAAUAAAAGCCACAGUAAAAUACACAUUGCUGUUAAUCCUCCUCAAAAUAUUUCCUCUUAUUUGAACACAAUUAUGCUAUCAUCAUGACCCCUUUUUUUUUCAGUACCAGGAAUCAAACUCAGGGUCUUGCACUUGCCAGGCAGGCACUGUGUCACUGAGCUACAUCUCCAGGCAGUCUUGCCCUUUCUGAAGGAUUCUGGGAGUCCUCUUCUAAACCUCUGCCAUGCAGACACGGAAUAUCCAGAUGAGGAUUAGCACAGCUAUGCAGAGCAAGUGCCUUGCACAGCCCAGAGUCUGCCAUCAAAAGCAAUCACUGGAUGUGUCCCCUUGACCUUGGACCACAACUGUGAACCAAG